CACUGACCAAUCCCAGAUAAGAUACCUGAUAUAGCUGGGGACAUAUAGACAACCUGAGACUAGCUCUCCUCUGUGCUGUGCUGACUGUGUGGGUGGAGGGUGUCCCCACGGGGUGUCACACUGGGGCUACGUGUGGGGACAGGCAGUGUUGUGUGGACGUCAACACCGUCUCCAGUCGUCGUGAUGCUGCUGCUGCUCCCGGUGUAUGUGUCGACAUGGGAGGUGUCAGCGCAAAGUGCCACACAGCGGCCGGCUACGCCUGGCACAAGCCACAAGGACUGGUCAAGUUGUGUCCGUGCAGGACGGGCCUCAUUUGUGGACCGGUCAACAGUUACGACGAGUUUGGUCAGAAAGGUUACUGCUCCUUCGGCUAGGCACUAAA
rnacentral:lncRNA from 1 species